GAGACUGUCAGAGAGCAAUACAAAACUUCUUGUGGAGAGACAGCAGCACCAAACUUUACUCAGGACCCUUACUAUGAGCCCAGGCCUGGAACCACCUUAUUGUGGACAUUUUGAAAAUAAUUUAGUGCUCAAUGGAAACUUUACUCCAGGAGGAAACUUAGUGAUUCCUACCUUGAACCCACGGCCGUCAUAUGACUACUGAGAGACUUCCUUGUGGAAGAUGCAGCGGGAGUUGGAAAAAGAAUAACCAGAGCACUAGAAGAAGCUGCUACCGAAUUUGAAUGAGGAUCCUGUAGAAAUCCUUUAGUAUCUACUGAUGAUUCAAUUCUAAAUCAAGAUCCAGUAUGGAAAGCGUCACGAGAAUAUGUACAGAUUUUGAACAAAAAUUAUACAAUUUGAAAAAUAAAUAGAAAAAAUUUACUGGAUGCUUACAAAACAUUUUCAUUGCUUCCCAAUUGAACACACUAUACGGCAAAAUCUUGAUUAAAGGAAAAAGUUUUUGUUUCAUA